GCUACACAUGCAGUCGACGAUGAAGCCGGAGCUUGCUCUGGUGGAUUAGUGGCGAACGGGUGAGUAACACGUGAGUAACCUGCCCUUGACUCUGGAAUAAGCGUUGGAAACGACGUCUAAUACCGGAUACGAGCUUCCGCCGCAUGGUGAGGAGCUGGAAAGAAUUUCGGUCAAGGAUGGACUCGCGGCCUAUCAGGUAGUUGGUGAGGUAAUGGCUCACCAAGCCUACGACGGGUAGCCGGCCUGAGAGGGUGACCGGCCACACUGGAACUGAGACACGGUCCAGACUCCUACGGGAGGCAGCAGUGGGGAAUAUUGCACAAUGGGCGCAAGCCUGAUGCAGCAACGCCGCGUGAGGGACGACGGCCUUCGGGUUGUAAACCUCUUUUAGUAGGGAAGAAGCGAAAGUGACGGUACCUGCAGAAAAAGCACCGGCUAACUACGUGCCAGCAGCCGCGGUAAUACGUAGGGUGCAAGCGUUAUCCGGAAUUAUUGGGCGUAAAGAGCUCGUAGGCGGUUUGUCGCGUCUGCUGUGAAAACUGGGGGCUCAACCCCCAGCCUGCAGUGGGUACGGGCAGACUAGAGUGCGGUAGGGGAGAUUGGAAUUCCUG
rnacentral:rRNA from 1 species